AAACCAUGAUGUGGGCACUGAAGUUGGUAACUCUGGAAUCUUCCCCAAGGAUCCUUGAAGGGUUCAUGGGCACCUUGCGAGAAUGUUGAAAUCUUGUUUCUCGCUU
rfam:Brassica napus, WGS project CCCW01000000 data, contig: 1393